rnacentral:lncRNA from 1 species
CUUCCCACGCGGUCUCUGGGCUGGUUGAGCUGCGCCGCUGCAGGUAGUGCUGAGUUGCUCCAGUGCCACUGGGUUAGGGUCUCCACAACCGAGCUGGUCUCAGCAAGUGGUGUCCAUACAUGGGGCUCGAACCUGGGUUGAAGGGUCGCCAGAGCGACGGUUGGAGAACGUGGAACUAAGCUGGAGGACACCUGAGUACUCUUAAGCAAUCCCCGUGGGGGAGUUAAUCCUCGAGGAUUGGAACGUAAUUCUCUUUGGCAAAUGGAUGUCACCCACGUUCCCUCGUUUGGGAGACUAGCUUAUGUACAUGUAUGUGUGGACACCUUUUCUCACUUUGUCUGGGCUACAUGCCAAUCAGGAGAGUCUUCUGCCUGAGUUAAACAUCACCUUUUGCAGUGUUUUGUGGUGAUGGGCAUUCCAGCUUCUAUUAAAACAGAUAACGUCCCAGGCUAUACUAGCCAAGCUCUAGCUACAUUUUUCUCUAUAUGGAAUACUAAACACAUUACUGGCAUUCCGUAUAAUUCUCAAGGACAAGCCAUAGUGGAAAGAAUGAAUCCCUCCCUGAAACAGCAGUUGCAAAAGCAAAAAGGGGGAAACAGGGACUAUGGGAUACCCCAUAUGCAAUUGAAUCUAGUAUUAUUGACUUUAAAUUUUUUGAGACUGCCUAAAGGCCAGAUGCUAUCAGCAGCUGAAUAGCAUCUACAGAAACCAGCUGCAAAGACAGAAGCAGAACAACUGGUUUGGUGGAGAGAGCCAAUGAUAAAAAGUUGGGAAAUGGGUAGAAUAAUAACUUGGGGUAGAGGUUAUCCUUGUGUUUCUCCAGGACCAAAUCAACUGCCAAUUUGGAUAUCAUCGAGGCACCUGAAACCUUAUCAUGAGCCUGAUGCUGAGGAAUAGAUUCUGGGAGGAUCCCGAGGAUCCCCUGGUUGCAGCCAUGUUGAGACUGACGCUGAGGGGGACCCCAACUGUCACGAGCAACACCCAUCGAACGCAGCCACCUACCUGGGGACAGAUCAAGAAGCUGUCACAGAUGGCAGAAGAAAACCUAAGGAAAGUGG